CUAGUCAAGAGUCACAGUCAAAUCAACCAACCUCAAAGCUUUAAAGCCUUAAAAAGAGUUCAAUCUUAUUCCAAAGAUUACACUUCUCUGUUAUGUAUCUCCAAAUGUUGUCAUCCACAGCUGGUGAAGACACUGCUCACAACACCAUAACAAAUACUCAGAAUAGAGUGUCUUCGUCAUCCUCAAAAUCUUCCUCUACAUCUUCCUCUCCUUCACCUUUUUCGCCUUCCGAUCUUCACCACCAGACCCACAAGGCUAAAACCAUGGAAGAGGUCUGGAAAGACAUCAAUCUUGCUUCUCUUCAUGAUCACCCUUCUGGCGAUCAAGACUUCUCUGUCACUCCGAGACUCCAUAAUCCUUAUCACAACAACUUUAUUCUUCAAGACUUCUUUGCAAGACCCUUUAGCAAAGAUCCACCGACGAGAUUAGUUUCUGCUCAUGGUGAUUCUGCUUUAUGUGGCUCUUCAAUGCCGCCUCCUGCCACUGUUCUCAGCUUAAACUCAGGCCCUGGGUUCGAUUUUCUUGAUAACUCUGAUCCACUUAGGCCUACCUCGCAUUUGCCUAGCCAUCCUGUUUCAAAUAUUUCCUCUUUUAAUAGUCAUUUUGAGGCGUUGGAUUCAUCUUUGGGCAUGCCUUGUUUUGGUAAGAAAAGGGUUCAAGAAUCUGAUAAUAGUUCUUGUGAUCGCCGGCAUAAGCGUAUGAUUAAGAACCGAGAAUCAGCAGCUCGAUCGAGAGCUAGAAAACAGGCUUAUACUAGUGAGCUAGAGCAAGAAAUAGCACAUCUACAGGCAGAAAAUGCUAGACUCAAGAGACAGCAAGAGGAGGUAAGUUAUGCAGUCAAUAAACCCAAAUUAAAAAUGGACCCACAAAUUAUUUUGUUUGCUUUAGAGAUUUGCCGGGUUCUGAUUUAAGCAAAACACUCAUCUGUGCAAGCUAAUUGGCUCUUUCCUUUUUAUAUAUACAAGUUGAAGUCAUGUGUCUAUUAUUUUUUUUGUUUUUUGGGCAGUCAUGCUUAGCUGCAGCCGCUCAAACUCCCAAAAAGCACACACUCCAUCGAACGUCAACGGCUCCAUUUUGAGUAGUGUUACUCCUUUAAUUUUACCUAAUCCGUCUCUCUUGCCUUAGCACAGUUUCCUUCCUUUUGGGGUGAGAGAGAAGAAAAGAAAGAUAUAUUUUAUGGAUCUUUGUUUAUGAAUGUUUUUGUGAUGAAAGGGAUGGAUGUAAGCAAUUGUAGCAAAAUGUUCCUAUUUCAAAGAGAGAAGAUGGUUCUUUGCAUCAUCCUUAACAGGCAGGAACAUUAUGGUGGGCCUUUGCUUGCCAUUUUGUUAUCUUCCUUUUGUACGAAUCAUGACCGUUUGCAAAGAGAAAAGGGAAAUGGGUUUUUGGGGAGGGUAAAUUGGGUAGAAGGAAAAUAGAGGGAGAGAGUGAAGAGACCAAUUCCAUGAAGAUGCAUAGUAAAGUAGAGAUGGGACAUUUGGUUCCUUAUAAACUGGCCAUCACUUUCAAAGGAAGGACUCCUUAUCUCUUCUUUUUAUCGUUUUAUCCUCAAAGGUCUGCUUUCAGCUUUUCUUUUCCUUUAUUAUUACACACACAUGCACAUACCCUUUUAUUACACUCAUUGCUGCUGGUGGCUUCUCUCAUUCGCUUCCAAACGAUUCAAAAGUUGCAGAGAUAACGUCAUCUUUGAUUCAAUCCCAGUCUUACUGCAAAUAUUAAUUGCUUCUCUGUUGUAUUCCCCAUUGCCCCAUUGGGUAAUAACUAUGUGAUUGUUUUUGGAGUUUGGACAGUCCCCUUCAUUUUUUUUUUAAUCAACUAAAAUGAUAAUUUAUUG
rnacentral:misc_RNA from 1 species